rnacentral:rRNA from 1 species
UACAGAGGGGGCGAGCGUUAAUCGGCGUAACUGGGCGUAAAGGGCACGUAGGCGGUUAUAUUAGUCUGAUGUGAAAGAACUGGGCUUAACCUGGGAUGUGCAUUGGAAACGGUAUGGCUAGAGUAUGGGAGAGGGAAGUGGAAUUUCCGGUGUAGCGGUGAAAUGCGUAGAGAUCGGAAAGAACACUCGUGGCGAAGGCGGCUUUCUGGCCCAAAACUGACGCUGAGGUGCGAAAGCGUGGGGAGCAAACAGG